UGGCUCACGACGAACGCUGGCGGCCUGCCUAAUACAUGCAAGUAGAACGCCGAAGGAGGAGCUUACUCUUCUGGAUGAGUUGCGAACGGGUGAGUAACGCGUACGUAACCUGCCUGGGAGCGGGGGAUAACUAUUGGAAACGAUAGCUAAUACCGCAUAAGAGUAGAUGUUGCAUGAGUUUGCUUAAAAGGUGCAAUUGCAUCACUACCAGAUGGACCUGCGUUGUAUUAUCUAGUUGGUGGGGUAACGGCUCACCAAGGCGACGAUACAUAUUCGACCUGAUAGGGUGAUCGGCCACACUGGGACUGAUACACGGCCCGGACUCCUACGGGAGGCAGCAGUAGGGAAUCUUCGGCAAUGGACGGAAGUCUGACCGAGCAACGCCGCGUGAGUGAAGAAGGUUUUCGGAUCGUAAAGCUCUGUUGUAAUACAAGAACGAGUGUGACAUUGGAAAGUUCACACUGUGACCGUAUCUUACCAGACAGGGACGGCUAACUACGUGCCACUCUCCGCGGUAAUACAUAUGUCACGAGCGUUGACAGGAUUUAUUGUUCGUCAAGCGAGCGCAAGCUGAUACAUAAGUCUGACGGUAUGUGCUGUGCCUUAACCAUAGUACUCUUUGUAAACUGUUUAACUUGACUGCAAGAGGGGAGAGUGUAUUCCAUGUGUACCGGUGAAAUGCGUAGAUAUAUGGAGGAACACCGGUGGCGAAACGGCUCUCUGGCUUGUAACUGACGCUGAUGCUCGCUACCGUGGGGAGCAACAUGAUUAGAUACCU
rnacentral:rRNA from 1 species